rnacentral:rRNA from 1 species
UGCCAGCCGCCGCGGUAAUACGAAGGGACCUAGCGUAGUUCGGGAUUACUGGGCUUAAAGAGUUCGUAGGUGGUUGAAAAAGUUAGUGGUGAAAUCCUGCAGCUUAACUGCAGAACUGCCAUUGAUACUGUACAUCUUGAAUUCGGUCGAAGUGGGCGGAAUGUGUAGUGUAGCGGUGAAAUGCAUAGAUAUUACACAGGACACCGAUAGCGAAGGCAGCUCACUAGGCCUGGAUUGACGCUCAGGGACGAAAGCGUGGGGAUCAAACAGGAUUAGAUA